UGGGGUGUAGCUUAGAGUGUUUGCCUCUCAUGCACAAGGGCCUGGGUUCAAUCCCCAGUACCACAA
rnacentral:tRNA from 1 species